rnacentral:rRNA from 1 species
AUUGAACGCUGGCGGCAGGCCUAACACAUGCAAGUCGAACGAGUGGCGGAGGGGUGAGUCAUGUCUGGAAACCUGCCUUAUGGAGGGGGUUACCUCCUGGAAACGGUAGCUAUUACCGAUUACCAGCGGCUUUUCCCAGAUGGGAUUAGCUAGUAGGUGGGGUAAAGGCUCACCAAGGCCACGAUCCCUAGUUGGUCGGAGAGGAUGACCAGCCACACUGGAACUGAGACACGGUCCAGACUCCUACGGGAGGCAGCAGUGGGGAAUAUUGCACAAUGGGCGAAAGCCUGAUGCAGCCAUGCCGCGUGUAUGAAGAAGGCCUUCGGGUUGUAAAGUACUGUCAGCGGGGAGGCGUUACCCGAAGAGGAAGCACCGGCUAACUCCGUGCCAGCAGCCGCGGUAAUAC